rnacentral:lncRNA from 9 species
UUGUAGAUCUUUUGGUACCUAUAGGAACUAAUCUGUGUUUUACAAGACCACUUUGGUUUCAGAGACUAAAGCUAAAGAAGUUUGUUCUGCGCUGUGAUUAGCAACUUUCUCAUUGUAAUAAGAAUAGAGAUGGCAUUCAGUAAGGGUGCAAAUUUACAUCUUCUUUCACCUUUCCCCUGGGACCCAUCCACUUAAAGAGGGAAAGAACUGAAGGAAGACAUGUCUGGAAAACCAUUUUUUCUCCCAGUGAACAUCUAAUAGUUACUCCUAAAGCCAAAAGAUUUCAGUCAAGCCUUUCUGUGUAUAUAUGCCCCUACCUUAAUUGAAAUUGAUAUUAACGCAGUGUUACCAUAAUUCCUUGAAAUGAGGACUAACAUCAAUGGGUUCAGCAGGGGAAAGGAAAUCUGCCCUAGAAAGAGAGCGAGCCAUUUUCCCGAAGUUUCUGAUUCAUUACCUGGUUGGAGGAAGGAAGGAAUUACUGGCAGGAAUAAAUAAAUCAUCUGUUGUUUUAUUUUGGAGUGGAGAUUUUUUUUUUCUUUUAAGGAUAUUUCUUUACAAAUACCCUCAUCAGUGUGCAAAUGUGUUAUAUGUUUUUAUAUAUUAUAACAAAAGAUUGGAGUUCCCGUUGUGGCACAGUGGUUAACAAAUCCUACUAGGAACCAUGAGGUUGCAGGUUCGAUUCCUGGCCUUGCUCAUGGGUUAAGGAUCUGGCAUUGCCAUGAGCUGUGGUGUAGGUUGCAGACAGGGCUCUGAUCCAGAGUUGCUGUAGCUGUGAGUAGGCAGCAGGUGGAGCUCUCAUUAGACCACUAGCCUGGGAACUUCCAUAUACCAUGGGUGUGGCCCUAAAAAGGCAACAAAAAGAAAAAAUAAAGCCAAAAAAGGGGUGAGGGAGCUGUACCAUGAACAGAAGUUCAGGGUAGAUUUUAUUAAGUAAGAAAAAAUAAAAUUCUUUGUAAUUGUCAUAUCUAUAACACUGAUACUGAUGAGGAAAAAUCAUACAUUUCUUUAUGGCAGGACAAUUAAACUAAGGAUGGAAAUACAUAUAACAUGCCUCCUCUCUGCGCGGGGUGGGGUGGGGGAGGUGCUUCCCCUGUGUGCAGGUGCGCUUAUGUUACAUAGUAACCAGGCCUCCUCAGGGCAGGAGGGUGUAAUCAACCUUUGGAAAGAAUGGUCCCUGUCUUCUGUUCACCAUCUUAAUGUUAAGAUUAUUUUUUCGGAGUUCCCGUCGUGGCGCAGUGGUUAACGAAUCCGACUAGGAACCAUGAGGUUGCGGGUUCGGUCCCUGCCCUUGCUCAGUGGGUUAACGAUCCGGCGUUGCCAUGAGCUGUGGUGUAGGUUGCAGACGUGGCUCGGAUCCCGCGUUGCUGUGGCUCUGGCGUAGGCCGGUGGCUACAGCUCCGAUUCGACCCCUAGCCUGGGAACCUCCAUAUGCCGCGGGAGCGGCCCAAAGAAAUAGCAACAACAACAAAAGACCAAAAGACAAAAAAAAAAAAAAAAAAAGAUUAUUUUUUCUUGUCCGGUACAAGAGGUCACAUUGACCUAAAGUCUCACUGUAUAAAGCUUACUUGAACAAAACAUCUCUGAUGAAUUUUAUGUAUAAUGUUAACCUGUCUAUAUGAUACAUAAUUCUUUGCCUCAAAAAUGCAUAAAACUGCAUCCAUUUUUAACUCCUGACCAGUGAAACCUUCAGAGCUUCUGAGUGUCUGUCUCCCAGGUUAUAAUCCUCAGUUUGGCUCAAACAUUUUUCUCUUUUUUUUCUUCUUAGCUUGCUUGUUAAUUGGAUUCUCACUGACAAUACAAAAUAUGUAUUAUAUAAACAUUAAAAGUGGCUAACUUUAAAAAAAAUUUUUAUGGCCACCUAUGGAAGUUCCCAGGCUAGGGGUCAAAUCUGAGCUACAGCUGUAGGCCUACAACACAGCCAUAGCAACAUCAGAUCCAAGCCACACCCACAAACUUGUCACAGAUUGUGACAACGCCAGAUGCUUCACCCACUGAGUGAGGCCAGGGAUCAAACCUGCAUCCUCACAAGCAUAUGUUGGGUUCUUAAACUGCUGAGCCACAGCAAGAACUCUAUAAGUGGCUAUGCCACAGCUGUGGCAAUGCUGGGUCCUUAACCCCCUGUGCCACAGUGAGAGCUCCAGUUCUAACAAGUUUUUGUUAUAUCUUCAAGAGCUGUGCCAUCCUUUUAAAUGUUGUCCCCUGCCCCCUCCCCUCCUGUCUCAAUAUUGUGUUUACCAGUUGUUUAGAUUAUUAUGAGGAGGGAGAUUACAGAAAGCUUCCUGUUCUUUUUAUUUUUUUUUUAGUGUUUUUUUUUUUUUUUUCCAUUAUAGCUGGUUUACAGUGUUAUGCCAAUCUUCUACUGUAUGGCAAGGUGACCCAGUCACACAUACAUAUAUACAUUCUUUUUUUCACAUAAACUUCCUGUUCUAAAUCAACAUUUCUGUAAUGUAUGAACAUUUACCACAUGUGUUAUUUAUUCAUAAAAGGUGAAAUUAUAAAAACCAACUACAGGCAUUUGUAGCAACAUGGAUGGACCUAGAAAUUAUCAUGCUAAGUGAAGUCAGUCAGACAAUGAGACACCAACACCAAAUGCUAUCACUUACCUGUGGCAUCUAAAAAAAGGACACAAUGAACUUCUUUGCAGAACAGAUACUGACUCACAGACUUUGCAAAACUUAUGGUUUUCAAAUGAGACAGGUUGGGGUGUGGGGGGGAUGCACUGAGGGUUUGGGAUGGACAUGCUAUUAAAAUUUGGCUGUGAUGAUUGUUGUAC